AGAGAGAGACAUGCGCGCAUAUCAAUAAGCGGAGGAAAAGAAACUAACAAGGAUUCCCCUAGUAACGGCGAGUGAAGCGGGAAGAGCUCAAAUUUGAAAUCUUAAAGGGUUUCCCUUUACGAAUUGUAGUUUAAAGAAGUGUUUUCUGUUGAGGUUUUGGUAAAAGUUCUUUGGAAUAGGACAUCAUAGAGGGUGAGAAUCCCGUAUUUGACCUUUACUUUCAACUUUGUGAUAUACUUUCAAAGAGUCGGAUUGUUUGGGAAUGCAGUCCAAAAUGGGUGGUAAAUUUCAUCUAAAGCUAAAUAUUGGCGAGAGACCGAUAGCGAACAAGUACCGUGAGGGAAAGAUGAAAAGAACUUUGAAAAGAGAGUUAAACAGUACGUGAAAUUGUCAAAAGGGAAGCGUUUGACACCAGUGUUGUUUUUCUGAAAAUCAAUUAAAGAACUGUUUAUGCUAAGCUGUUUAGACUUUAUCAGCUAUCUGUUUAGUUUUGAGCUUUUCUUUAAUGCACUUUUCAGUUAACAAGUCAACAUCAAUUUCUUUUGCUGUAAAAAAGCUUGAGGAAGGUGGCUUGAGAUUCGUCUUAAGUGUUUAUAGCCUCUUGCCUAUGCAGUUGGAGAGAUUGAGGUCUGCAGCGUAGAUCCUUCGGGGCUAAAUGCAUUUGUGCUAAGUUAUAGCAUUUUAUAGACAACUUGUUGACUAUGAUUUGUCUUGUAGCUUACUCGCUUAUGUUAUUUUACCUACGCUUAGGAUGUUGAGCGCAUGUCUCUCUCU
rnacentral:rRNA from 1 species